rfam:Desulfitibacter sp. BRH_c19 BRHa_1002544, whole genome shotgun sequence.
UGAAUAUUAGCAAUGUUACUGUAGACAGUAGGUGCCCUGUGGCUUAAUUUCCUACCGAGGUAUGUUGAUAAACAUCAAUGAAUGUAAUUAUUAGUGUUUAGCCAACCCCUGCAUGUCUGCAGGGGUUGUUUAUAUUUAAGA